AGUCGAGCGGAUGACAGGAGCUUGCUCCUGAAUUCAGCGGCGGACGGGUGAGUAAUGCCUAGGAAUCUGCCUGGUAGUGGGGGACAACGUUUCGAAAGGAACGCUAAUACCGCAUACGUCCUACGGGAGAAAGCAGGGGACCUUCGGGCCUUGCGCUAUCAGAUGAGCCUAGGUCGGAUUAGCUAGUUGGUGAGGUAAUGGCUCACCAAGGCGACGAUCCGUAACUGGUCUGAGAGGAUGAUCAGUCACACUGGAACUGAGACACGGUCCAGACUCCUACGGGAGGCAGCAGUGGGGAAUAUUGGACAAUGGGCGAAAGCCUGAUCCAGCCAUGCCGCGUGUGUGAAGAAGGUCUUCGGAUUGUAAAGCACUUUAAGUUGGGAGGAAGGGCAGUAAAUUAAUACUUUGCUGUUUUGACGUUACCGACAGAAUAAGCACCGGCU
rnacentral:rRNA from 1 species